AGGAAUAGUCUCUGGUCCUUGCAAACAGAAGGUGGUGGUAAUGCACUAUUUUAGUUUGCGAAGAUGAUCACGACAACUGGUCCAGUACUGAAAUCCUCGCAGUUUUAGACUUGUUUACAGUCUUCAAACACUCUCUUUAAACUACACACAGAUGUUCUGCUGUGGUGGGUGCUCCACGUUGUGUCAUGCAUGAUGAGUGUGGACUUUGAUAGUGAACGAGUUGAAAGAAUAGUUGCAGAAGCACGGGUUGGACCCCAGAGGCCUCAAAGCGGAUCUGGCGGAGCAGUUGCAGGCGGCUCUGGAGGCUGAAGAAGAGGAGAGAUCCUUGGGGUCUCCCACAUGCGAUGAUACUUCAUAUAAGCUGGAAACGGGUGUUUCAGAGGCAGGGUAUGAUGAGCAGUCUGACCCAGGGCAGAUGGCCGGUGAGAGAGAGUGCACUGAUAUGGACUCUGAUAUGGACAUUGAUUCUGAAUUCCCUAAAAGUGACAACAAAUCAGAGACUGUGGAGGGA